GAUGAACGCUAGCGGCAGGCCUUAUACAUGCAAGUCGAGGGGCAGCGGUACACUUCGGUGUAGCCGGCGACCGGCGAACGGGUGCGUAACGCGUAUGCAAUCUACCUUGUACUGGGGAAUAGCUCCUGGAAACGGGAAUUAAUGCCCCAUGUUAUCUUUUGAUCGCAUGAUCAGCAGAUCAAAGCUCCGGCGGUACAAGAUGAGCAUGCGUCCUAUUAGCUAGUUGGUAAGGUAAUAGCUUACCAAGGCAACGAUGGGUAGGGGUUCUGAGAGGAAGGUCCCCCACACUGGCACUGAGACACGGGCCAGACUCCUACGGGAGGCAGCAGUAGGGAAUAUUGGUCAAUGGGCGAAAGCCUGAACCAGCCAUGCCGCGUGCAGGAUGAAGGUCAUACGAUCGUAAACUGCUUUUGUACGGGAAAAAUAGGUUUCUGCCGAAACUGAUGAUGGUACCGUAAGAAUAAGCACCGGCUAACUCCGUGCCAGCAGCCGCGGUAAG
rnacentral:rRNA from 1 species